AGAGUUUGAUCAUGGCUCAGAAUGAACGCUGGCGGCAGGCCUAACACAUGCAAGUCGAACGAGGUAGCAAUACCUAGUGGCGGACGGGUGAGUAACGCGUGGGAACGUACCCUUUGCUACGGAAUAGCCCUGGGAAACUGGGAGUAAUACCGUAUGAGCCCGAGAGGGGAAAGAUUUAUCGGCAAAGGAUCGGCCCGCGUUGGAUUAGGUAGUUGGUGGGGUAAUGGCCUACCAAGCCGACGAUCCAUAGCUGGUUUGAGAGGAUGAUCAGCCACACUGGGACUGAGACACGGCCCAGACUCCUACGGGAGGCAGCAGUGGGGAAUCUUAGACAAUGGGGGAAACCCUGAUCUAGCCAUGCCGCGUGAUCGAUGAAGGCCUUAGGGUUGUAAAGAUCUUUCAGGUGGGAAGAUAAUGACUGUACCACCAGAAGAAGCCCCGGCUAACUCCGUG
rnacentral:rRNA from 1 species